CAGUCAGAGGCGAUGAAGGGCGUGCUAAUCUGCGAUAAGCGCCGGUAAGGUGAUAUGAACCGUUAUAACCGGCGAUACCCGAAUGGGGAAACCCAGUGUGAUUCGUCACACUAUCAUUAACUGAAUCCAUAGGUUAAUGAGGCGAACCGGGGGAACUGAAACAUCUAAGUACCCCGAGGAAAAGAAAUCAACCGAGAUUCCCCCAGUAGCGGCGAGCGAACGGGGAGGAGCCCAGAGCCUGAAUCAGCAUGUGUGUUAGUGGAAGCGUCUGGAAAGGCGCGCGAUACAGGGUGACAGCCCCGUACACAAAAGCGCAUGUGCUGUGAGCUCGAUGAGUAGGGCGGGACACGUGGUAUCCUGUCUGAAUAUGGGGGGACCAUCCUCCAAGGCUAAAUACUCCUGACUGACCGAUAGUGAACCAGUACCGUGAGGGAAAGGCGAAAAGAACCCCGGCGAGGGGAGUGAAAAAGAACCUGAAACCGU
rnacentral:rRNA from 1 species